rnacentral:ncRNA from 1 species
AAGAGGGCAAAUCUGUCGAAAGACAGGGACGUAAAGCUACAGAGCCUGAAGCUCAAUAGAGCAUGGCUGCCAGUUAC